UACGUAGGGUGCAAGCGUUAAUCGGAAUUACUGGGCGUAAAGCGUGCGCAGGCGGUGAUGUAAGACAGUUGUGAAAUCCCCGGGCUCAACCUGGGAAUUGCAUCUGUGACUGCAUCGCUAGAGUACGGUAGAGGGGGAUGGAAUUCCGCGUGUAGCAGUGAAAUGCGUAGAUAUGCGGAGGAACACCGAUGGCGAAGGCAUCCUCCGUGACCUGUACUGACGCUCAUGCACGAAAGCGUGGGGAGCAAACAGG
rnacentral:rRNA from 1 species